GAUGAACGCUGGCGGCGUGCCUAAUACAUGCAAGUCGAGCGAACAGACGUGGAGCUUGCUUCUCUGACGUUAGCGGCGGACGGGUGAGUAACACGUGGAUAACCUACCUAUAAGACUGGGAUAACUUCGGGAAACCGGAGCUAAUACCGGAUAAUAUAUUGAACCGCAUGGUUCAAUAGUGAAAGACGGUUUUGCUGUCACUUAUAGAUGGAUCCGCGCCGCAUUAGCUAGUUGGUAAGGUAACGGCUUACCAAGGCAACGAUGCGUAGCCGACCUGAGAGGGUGAUCGGCCACACUGGAACUGAGACACGGUCCAGACUCCUACGGGAGGCAGCAGUAGGGAAUCUUCCGCAAUGGGCGAAAGCCUGACGGAGCAACGCCGCGUGAGUGAUGAAGGUCUUCGGAUCGUAAAACUCUGUUAUUAGGGAAGAACAAAUGUGUAAGUAACUAUGCACGUCUUGACGGUACCUAAUCAGAAAGCCACGGCUAACUACGUG
rnacentral:rRNA from 1 species